GUCACUAUGCCAUCAAUCGGUGUUCUGAAACCAGAGAAAAGUGGAAAGAAAGAAGACCACUACAUUAAUGUUCACUCUGAAAGGGACGACGACCGUGAGGUUUCGGUUCAAGAUCACUCAGUUGCUUCUCCUAAAGCUUGUUUGGUGUGUCUGAAUGAAUGUAGCGGCCCGGAAACGUGCCAACGGUUCCUUAAUAUGGAUAUUGGGUCACGAUGGAGCAUUGUGAAGGAGAAAAAGUUAUGCAGGAAAUGUCUUCGUAAGCACUUUGGUGUCUGUCAGGUCAGAGUACCGUGUGGAAAGAAUGGUUGCACAUUCAUGCAUAGUGAAUUAUUGCAUGAUGAUAAGCGAUAUAACAAACCUGCAUUACCGGAUCAAGAAAAUGUAACGAGUAGAAACUCAGCGACACUGAGCUGCAAUACUCAUUCGAAGGCAUCAAGGAAGAUACUUUUCCGGUACGUGCCAAUCACUAUCCACGGUAAUGGAAAACAAGUAAGCACAUAUGCUUUCCUCGAUGAUGGAUCGUCAGCGACUUUAAUGGAACACAGUCUGCUUGAAGAAUUGGGUCUUGAAGGAAAACCUUAUCCAUUGUGCCUUGAUUGGACCGGUGGUCACCAACGAGAGGAGAAACAAUCGGUCCAAUUGUCUCUAAAGAUUUCAGGGAUGAAAGAAACCAACGAAAUAUUUGAACUCUCCGAAGUUCAUACGGUAUCGGAUCUUUCCUUGCCAAAGCAGUCAAUUUCAUUGCCGUACCUAACAGAUAAAUACAGCUAUCUUGAAGGUUUGCCAUUAGAGUCUUAUGAAGGCGUGUCUCCAAGAAUUCUUAUCGGAAUGAAUAAUUGUUGGUUAGGUCAUUCUCUUCGAAGCAUAGAAGGUGGCCAAAAUGAGCCUAUGGUUUCCAUGACGCGCCUUGGUUGGAUGAUAUACGGACCGUGUAUAAUGGAAUCGGGAGGGACAAACCAUAAUUAUAAUGGCUUUUGUAGUUUUCAUAUACAUCUGAGAGAAAAAUCUAAAGAAUUGAUGAAGUGUACCUCCGGCGUCCAAUCCGAAUCAGAGUUUCCUAAAUCAUCAACUAUAGCAAAGCGGAAGGUGUCAAGGACUCUAUCUCGUAGAAAAACCACCACAGUGCCAACUAUAGAGGCACAUAAGAAAACUAUCAAGCACAUUCGGGAUUUCAUGAUCAAAUCACUGAACAAGUGCCCAGUGCGUAUUGUAACCAGCAAAUGCCUUGGGCACGAAAAAAUGCGGAACACGAAAUUCAUCGCUCUGCACAAAACUACUAACUCGUUGCUGUCGAAAGGCAUGAUUCGUUAUAGUCACCAUCGAUGCUUCGAGACCAUUCGACAGACCCGGCAGCUCAAUAAUAUUUCCACGAUAUAUCCUGCAUCGAAUGUAAUACGCCGGACUGAUGUACUGGAGUGUUAUGGGAAUGUACAAUCCUUGCCGAAAAUACCAGAUAUCAAGCUUAAAUCAAGAUCUUUCACCGACAUACCGACAAAUAUGGAUAUUGAAAUACCAUGGUGUUACGACUACCAGCCCCUGAUCGAACCAACGUUAUUGAUGCAACCAUGGACGAGGAUCAAGCUUCAUAAUACGUUUGGAUACGUGAAUAAUCGAGCACCAGCCUACGGAUAUUCACUGCAGUCACUCAAUAAAUCAGCCAAAAGACGCAUGAUUGAAGGUUUGCGAGCAAUGCUAGUGGUCAGUGGCGUCUACGAUAUAUCAACGUUCAAAAUUGUCGUAUUUGGCAGCGGUGCAAACGAUGGUAAGCUACUUGCAUGGCAGUGGCGUACCGUGGGGGAAUGUUACAACACUACGGGUUGCAGCGCACCUCGCAUUUUUUAAAACUCUAAUUUGCAUCAAUCAGUACCAGCCCUGUUACCUAUUUGUCGAUUGGUAGCAGCCUGAGAGUAGCAGCAGACUGAAUAUGUAUGAGGUGUAAGCAGAAUGGUAGGUAAAUACGGUAAUAAUAACAAAGCACCGAUAAUUGCUAGUGAUACUGCAGAGUAUAGGUGAGAAACAUUAGGAAUAUUUAUAAACUAUCUUAAAAACUAGAUGUUAUUAUACUUAAAAUUAGCUUAAAACUAUCGAAACGAGAGCCAAGUGUGAAUAAUAUCCUACUACUUUACACAUACCGAAGUUUGAGUUCAAACCACGAUCUAGAAUUGUGCAUUACGGUUGCUACUAGUACGGGCGAAAGACUUAGCAGAAGAACACUAAACGUCCUGAUGGACGAUCGGAUGGUUGAUAUAAUAUAAUCCUUGGAAAAAGCUCAUUCCUCUCGGUCACAAGCAAGCCAAUUUGUCUAUGCCGGAUCACCGACAGCAGCUGGCGGGUAGAUUGGACGACGGUCAUCUGAUAAUUUUCAACAUGGACGACGGCGACUAACAGGAGAAGAUACCCAUCUAUAAAUCACGAGUCAAAGCGAUGUCGUUUGUUAGAGAUUUUAUGGCUACUACUUCUGUUGCUGGUGAUGUCAGAUUUCAGAUGUCAGAUCGGAAAAGAUUUCAAGGAAAUUUGCACAACAAACUUCGGGCGCAGACGGAUCAGAGGACAAUAAAGGUUAGGCGUAAGAAGUUGAAGAGGAUUUGGACGAUCGGUGAAUACGAAUGACUCUUUUCGAAAAGCAGUCGAGUGAAUAUCCGCUUCGAAUCCGAACUCGGCUGAUUGGUUUGAUCGGGACUGAUCCAAGAGCUUACUAACGAAGACGACUAUCACCGCUAUUCAAGCUCAAUCUGGAAUCGCAGCACCCGAGACCCCGGUUGGAGCUCAACCGAUGCGAUUAGCGCCGAAUAUGGAUCAGCUGCAUUUUUGUCCGCUGCGAAUGCUGUCUUUGGGGCAAAUGCCAGCGUUAAAGCCUCGUCAUCACCAACAAUUAUUGACCUGGACUAGGAGGCUGCUCAUCAGGAGAAGAUAUUUAUUACCAAUAAUAAUAAUAAUUAAUUUAUAAAUAAUAAACGUGAUAAUUUAGUUUGGCGUACUUCACUUGUUUUGAAUAUCAAUGCAUUUUACACACUUUCAAUUUUGAAAGAAAAAUGUUAUUUUGAGAAGUUUGAUACACAUUUAGUGUUGAGAGGAAAAUGUUAUUUUGAAAGUUUAAAUACACAUUUAGUUUUGAGAGGUAAUUGUUAUUUUGAAAAGUUGGCUCUUGUAAAAGUUCAUUCUGAAGUGACACUUUUAGAAUUGUAAAUUCAACAAUGUUAUACUUUCUACUGAAAAUCACUAACUGAUUUUCUUAAUUUUACCAACGUUU